AGAGUUAAACAGUACGUGAAAUUGUUGAAAGGGAAACGAUUGAAGCCAGUCGUACCGGCGGGUAAUCAGCCUUUCGGGUAUGAUUCUGUGGAGCGUGAGGAGUUAAACGCCUUCAUGCCUGCAUAUUCGUGCUCUUGGGUGUACUUGCUCGUGUGGUUGGUUAACAUCAAUUUCGGUUAUCAUAAAAUGGCUGGAGGAAUGUAGCUUCGAUCUCGUAUUGAAGUGUUAUAGCCUUCGGCAGAUGUGAUGAUUGGGAUUGAGGAUUGCAACGGAUACCCUUCGGGGCUACCUGUCUGAUUUCUGAUCGUUGCUCUGGUGCCGAAAGCUUGCUUACGGUUAUCAAAGUCGAUGGUCAAUAGGUUAGAAUGGGUUAAAUUCGUUAAGGAUGUUGACGUAAUGGCUUUAAACGACC
rnacentral:ncRNA from 2 species